ACGAACGCUGGCGGCGUGCUUAACACAUGCAAGUCGAACGGUGAAGCGCCUUCCUUUUUGGUGGGUGUGGAUGAGUGGCGAACGGGUGAGUAACACGUGAGUAACCUGCCCCCUUCUUCUGGAUAACCGCAUGAAAGUGUGGCUAAUACGGGAUAUUCUGGGUCUGUCGCAUGAUGGGUCUGGGAAAGAUAUUGUUUCGGUGGGGGAUGGGCUCGCGGCCUAUCAGCUUGUUGGUGGGGUGAUGGCCUACCAAGGCGGUGACGGGUAGCCGGCCUGAGAGGGUGGACGGUCACACUGGGACUGAGACACGGCCCAGACUCCUACGGGAGGCAGCAGUGGGGAAUAUUGCACAAUGGGCGCAAGCCUGAUGCAGCGACGCCGAGUGAGGGAUGGAGGCCUUCGGGUUGUGAACCUCUUUCGCCAGUGAAGCAGGCCUGCCUCGUUUGUGGGUGGGUUGACGGUAGCUGGAUAAGAAGCGCCGGCUAACUACGU
rnacentral:rRNA from 1 species